rnacentral:rRNA from 1 species
AUUGAACGCUGGCGGCAGGCCUAACACAUGCAAGUCGAGCGGAUGAAGGGAGCUUGCUCCUGGAUUCAGCGGCGGACGGGUGAGUAAUGCCUAGGAAUCUGCCUGGUAGUGGGGGAUAACGUCCGGAAACGGGCGCUAAUACCGCAUACGUCCUGAGGGAGAAAGUGGGGGAUCUUCGGACCUCACGCUAUCAGUUGAGCCUAGGUCGGAUUAGCUAGUUGGUGGGGUAAAGGCCUACCAAGGCGACGAUCCGUAACUGGUCUGAGAGGAUGAUCAGUCACACUGGAAAUGAGACACGGUCCAGAAUCCUACGGGAGGCAGCAGUGGGGAAUAUUGGACAAUGGGCGAAAGCCUGAGCGAGCCAUGCCGCGUGUGUGAAGAAGGGCUGCGGAUUGUAAAGCACUUUAAGUUGGGAGGAAGGGCAGUAAGUUAAGACCUUGCUGUUUUGACGUUACCAACAGAAUAAGCACGGGCGAACUUCGG